rnacentral:rRNA from 1 species
CCUACGGGUGGCAGCAGUGAGGAAUAUUGGUCAAUGGACGAGAGUCUGAACCAGCCAAGUAGCGUGAAGGAUGACUGCCCUAUGGGUUGUAAACUUCUUUUAUAAAGGAAUAAAACGAGGCACGUGUGCCUUUUUGCAUGUACUUUAUGAAUAAGGAUCGGCUAACUCCGUGCCAGCAGCCGCGGUAAUACGGAGGAUCCGAGCGUUAUCCGGAUUUAUGGGGUUUAAAGGGUGCGCAGGCGGAGGCACAAGUCAGCGGUAAAAUCGCGGGGCUCAACCCCGCUCCGCCGUUGAAACUGUGUCCCUUGAGUGCGCGAAGGGUAGGCGGAAUGCGUGGUGUAGCGGUGAAAUGCAUAGAUAUCACGCAGAACUCCGAUCGCGAAGGCAGCCUACCGGCGCGCAACUGACGCUCAUGCACGAAAGCGUGGGUAUCGAACAGGAUUAGAUACCCUAGUAGUC